rnacentral:tRNA from 1 species
GGGCAUGUAUUUCAACAGGAGAAUGCUUGCUUAGCAAGCAAGAGUCCAGGGUUUUAUCCCCAGCAGUUCCC